ACAGAGGGUGCGAGCGUUAAUCGGAUUUACUGGGCGUAAAGCGUGCGUAGGCGGCUUUUUAAGUCGGAUGUGAAAUCCCCGAGCUUAACUUGGGAAUUGCAUUCGAUACUGGGAAGCUAGAGUAUGGGAGAGGAUGGUAGAAUUCCAGGUGUAGCGGUGAAAUGCGUAGAGAUCUGGAGGAAUACCGAUGGCGAAGGCAGCCAUCUGGCCUAAUACUGACGCUGAGGUACGAAAGCAUGGGGAGCAAACAGGA
rnacentral:rRNA from 1 species